rnacentral:rRNA from 1 species
GACAGAGGGUGCAAACGUUGCUCGGAAUUACUGGGCGUAAAGCGCGUGUAGGUGGAUUGGUGUGUCAGAUGUGAAAUCCCUCGGCUCAACUGAGGAAGUGCAUCCGAAACUGGCAGGCUUGAGUACUAAAGAGGGUCGCGGAAUUCCCGGUGUAGAGGUGAAAUUCGUAGAUAUCGGGAGGAACACCGGUGGCGAAGGCGGCGACCUGGGUAGAUACUGACGCUGAGGUGCGAAAGCGUGGGGAGCAAACAGG